rnacentral:lncRNA from 1 species
CACUGAACCGCUCCCAAAACCCCGCCGUUCUGGCGACUCAGAAACUCCGAGCUCUCCAACGGCCUAUCCACCGCGACCGCCGUAGAAAUGUAGCGAUUGCAGCUCCGGCCAUUGACGAGACCUCCGACCACCGACCUCAACACGACCCGGUUCAUCUUCUUCCUCUUUCACAAUUCAAAUUUGGGUUUUGUUUUUCGAUUUGUUUGUGGGAAGCGUUUGGGUUCCUGGGCAUUUUAUAUGAUGAUUUGGUCUGUUUGGUUCCAGGUUUAAAAUUCAAAGUAAAAUUUCUGGCAGUUGACGAUCUUGACUUGGACCUGGAAUCUUUGGGUGGUGGUAUUUGGUGCCUGGACCGAUUAAAAUUCUUGCGCCUCAAGGCCGAGUUUGGGUUGGUGACACGUGUCCAGAUGGGUCCGUUUCCAGGAAGCAGCUGACUGCCGUGACGGCUAUGAGGUGGAAUACUGC